GGGAGAGUAGCUUAGUUUGGUGGAGCAUUCGACUGAUAAUCGAAAGGUCGAGGGUUCAAAUCCCUCCUUUCCCA
rnacentral:tRNA from 1 species